UACAGAGGUCUCAAGCGUUGUUCGGAUUCAUUGGGCGUAAAGGGUGCGUAGGCGGCGCGGUAAGUCAGGGGUGAAAUCCUGGAGCUCAACUCCAGAACUGCCUUUGAUACUGAAGAUCUUGAGUUCGGGAGAGGUGAGUGGAACUGCGAGUGUAGAGGUGAAAUUCGUAGAUAUUCGGAAGAACACCAGUGGCGAAGGCGGCUCACUGGACUGGUAUUGACGCUGAGGUGCGAAAGCGUGGGGAGCAAACAGG
rnacentral:rRNA from 1 species